GCUUUGAAGUGUGGACGCCAGUCUGCAUGGAGCCGACCUUGAAAUACCACCCUUUAAUGUUUGAUGUUCUAACGUGGAUCCGUGAUCCGGGUUGCGGACAGUGUCUGGUGGGUAGUUUGACUGGGGCGGUCUCCUCCUAAAGAGUAACGGAGGAGCACGAAGGUUGGCUAAUCCUGGUCGGACAUCAGGAGGUUAGUGCAAUGGCAUAAGCCAGCUUGACUGCGAGCGUGACGGCGCGAGCAGGUGCGAAAGCAGGUCAUAGUGAUCCGGUGGUUCUGAAUGGAAGGGCCAUCGCUCAACGGAUAAAAGGUACUCCGGGGAUAACAGGCUGAUACCGCCCAAGAGUUCAUAUCGACGGCGGUGUUUGGCACCUCGAUGUCGGCUCAUCACAUCCUGGGGCUGAAGUAGGUCCCAAGGGUAUGGCUGUUCGCCAUUUAAAGUGGUACGCGAGCUGGGUUUAGAACGUCGUGAGACAGUUCGGUCCCUAUCUGCCGUGGGCGCUGGAGAACUGAGGGGGGCUGCUCCUAGUACGAGAGGACCGGAGUGGACGCAUCACUGGUGUUCGGGUUGUCAUGCCAAUGGCACUGCCCGGUAGCUAAAUGCGGAAGAGAUAAGUGCUGAAAGCAUCUAAGCACGAAACUUGCCCCGA
rnacentral:rRNA from 1 species